CCCUGCGAGGCAGGCCAUUGGCUGAGGCCCGUAGCGUCGCGCGGCGGGUCUCGGCGUUGCGGAAGUGGGCGUGGCCUCCGAGCUUCCGGAAGGAAGAAGGAACUGCCUGGGAGGAGGGGAGGUGGGCUGGGUUACGCAUCCGCGGAGUUUCAUCGGGUUAUUUAUCCCCGGCGAUUUAGGUUGGAGAACUAUACGGUCUGUGGGCGCUGCUGGCCUAAAGCAGGACAGGUGUAAAGUUGAGGUCGUUGGGUAGUUGCGCUCGUUUCUUUAAAAGGACGGCCGCAGAUGGCGUAAUUUGUAAAACUUGGUGGAUCCCUUUCUCGGACCGCUAGUCUCCACCCCCUAGGCUGCUGCUUCAGGUGUUCCGCGGUCUGGGCGGAGCGCAGGUGCCGGAGCUCAGCAGCGAGAGAGGACACCCCCGCGCGCACCCCAAGCCCAGGCUUCUCUGGGGUUCUCGGUGGCCCGAGGCCACCGCGCUCCUUAGGGCCUAGUGAUCUCCGGGGUCUGUGCUGGGCGUCGCGGACUGCUGCAGGGGUUCUCACGUCGGAGAGAGGCUUUGCCUCCUUGGCCCGCCCCUUUCAUUCGUGUCCAUCGUGGGCUGUUGAGUAAUCUCAUGGCUCAUAUAUAUAUAUUUUUUUAAAUUGUUGAGUAAGAGUAACCUAGGCCCCCUCGUCAUAGAGCUUGUGUUCUAGUGAGGGUAAGACAGACAUUUAAAAUCGUAAAUAAAAUCACAUUGUGCCAAGAUGCCUGCAUACUGUGCUGUAAGGGUGAAUAAAGGUAGAGGGUCACUGCCUCCAGUCUGAGAAGGGAACAUUUAACCUGAAAAACAAAGAAUUGGGGUGGGGGGGGGAAUCUAGCAAUGUAAAGAAUGAAGGCCAGCACGGGGAGUGAGUGCUAAGACCCUGAAGCAGUGAAGAGUUCUGUAUUUUCUAGGAACUGGAUGGAGGCUGUGGUGUUAGAGCCCAGUGAGCCACGGAGAAGGGCACGGAGUGAGGUUGAAGAGUAGGUCGUUCUGGUUGUUCACGCGAAGAGUUACCAGCGAGAGGCAGCAGUGAAAGCAAAACAAUUACAAGGCUGUUGCAGGCAAGCAAGAGACUGGUAACUUCGGACUAAGGUGGUGGCAUGCGAUAUACAUCUAAGAGGUAGAAACAGUAGGGCUUGCUGAUAGAAGCAAAUGAGAAUGAGGAAGAGAAGAAUCAUGGGUGGUUUGAGCUUGAGUGUCUUGCUUGAGUAUUUGGAUGGAUGGUGGUGCCUUUUACUGAGAUGCUGAUGGACGGCCUUUAAAAAGAAAAAAAAAACAGCUAUGCCCUCGGAUAGAAAGAGGACUUGGAGGGGUGGGAGUGAUUUAGGAAGCUGGGUCAUCAGCUGUGGGGUUGGAGGACUGAGGAACGUCAGAAGAGAAGAAAGUAUAAAUAGUUCUGAGGCUGGGAAUGCAAGUUACUGAAGAAGCACGUGGCGAUGGCCAGGCGGGACCAAACUCCCUACUGAGGUUUGCGACCCAGUCAUUUUCGUUGUUACCUGGUUGGAUUUCCCUCAGCCGAGUUCUCCGCUUCCCUCCUGUUUCUUCUAUCCAUGACUUGGAAAUGAAAAAAACACUUUUAUUAUUUUUUGAAUAUUAUUCUAAUGUUUCCUUACUUCAGAAUGGUUUACUAGUAAAGUGAAUUGCAUAUAAUUUAAAGUUGUAUAUUAUUGGGGGAAAGUGGGUGGGAAUGGAUAAAUCUGGGAGUUUGAGAUUUGCAAUGUUAGCCACUCUGUAUAAAAAUAGAUUAAAAAAACAGAUUUCUUCUGUGUAGCACAGGGAACUAUAUUCAGCAUCUUGUAAUAACCUUUAAUGAAGAAGCAUAUGAAAACGAAUAUAUAUGUAUAUAUGCAUGACUGGGACAUUGUGCUGUACACCAGAAAUUGACACAUUGUAACUGACUGUACUUAAUUAAAAGUUAUAUAUUAUUAAACUGAA